ACGCCCUCCCGCCUUCUCCAACCAGACGGGGAGAGAAAAACCUCGGCCCCUUUAUCCGAGCCAAUGGCAGCUCGAGCGCCUUUUCUUAGUCAGAGCCUCGGCUGUGCAAGGGAGUCUUGGCGGGCCUCCCUCCCGGAGAGGUCUCCUAUCGCGCGCCCUGUGUGCGGCGGGCGGGGUGAGAGACUCCUUGUUCUACCCGCUUGACAGUAUUUCCCUUGGAGACAAGUAGAAGCGAUGCUCACGCGUGACAGCCGAAGCUAAUGUGCCGGACGAGGGAGGAUCACGAGGUCGGGCUGCUCCCUUUUUCGCCUCAGGCAUUCAGGUGACUGGUGCUGACAGAGACCAAGGAGCAAGUCAAGGCCUGUUUCGGAGCUUGACCUAUUUGGUGCCGUGCAUGGGAUCAUCAUAACAUAAGCGUAUGAACAGCCUGCUGGAUCAGGCGAAUCACCCAUCACUCCAGCAUCCUGCUGUCACCAUGGCCAACCAGGUGCCUAAGGGAAGCCUGUAAGAAGGACCUGAUUGCAGCAGCACUCUCUCAACUUCUGAAUUGUAAAACAAGCAAAUGUUCUUAUUGAAUAGCCUCAAUGAUGUUGUUUUGAAAACUAAAAAUAGAAAAGCAGGGUUGCCAAACUCUAUGUUGCACCAGGGCUCUUGUGCCUGUGAAAACUAUGUGGUAGCAGAGGAACACUGCCUGCAUUCUGCAUCCUGGCAUUCUCAUGCUAGGAUACUUAUGUGUUUGUUAAACUGUUCACAAAGUUACAGGGCCCUACAGCAUUAAGGUGGCAUUACCACAAAGGAAGUGCUGGAGUCACACUGGUCAUUACUGUUGUUAGUCUAGUUGUCAGUCUACUGUCAUCUGAAUUGCACUGGGAGUGGAAAACAUCCUUGCUCUUGUCCUUGUUGGAAGGCUGCCUGGGAAAAGAUGAGACACUGGGACAGUAAGGAGGAAAAGUUAGUCAACAACUUCAACAGGCUUAGGCUCUGUAGGCGACAGUGAGCAAGUAACUGAGAUAAUGCUGCCACCCAAGUGCUCUUCCCUUGCCUCCCUACUUCUUGGGUGAUAUUCCUCAAUGCCAGUAUUCAGAGCUCUGUCUGUUAGUAAUAUAGAGAGACAAAACUUUCCAGUAAUGUAUACUGACCUGCGUUGAAACUCUUGUCUGUUUUUUCUGUUUGUGCUGCUCUGUGUGGUCAUGCUCUUACCCAGCGCCAAGGCAGAAAGGGCCAUGGCUGUUUGGUCAGCACUAGCAAUUGAAAGAAUGACUGGUGUUUGCUCCUGUAACAAUCCUGUCCAAGUAACAGCACUGAAAGAUAAAAUCACACUGUAGUUCUGCAGUCCUGUGCAGAAUCAAUCAAUCUCAUUGAAAUCAAUGAGACUUCCCAGUAAUUGCACAGGAUUACAAUGCAGGUGAGACUUUUAUUCAGUUGGAAAUAAUUCAUGAGGGAGCAUUCCCUACUUGACAGCUAUAAAAUGUGACUCUCACAAAUGGUUGAUAACGUCUGAAACUGGUUUCUUUGUGAUUAAGUAUACACAAAAUGUGAUGGUAGAAUGAAAAAAUUAUAAUGGCAAUUCUUCUCUCUCACAGUGUGUGUGUAUGUGUUCUGCUUUCAGCUCAGUAGCUAAUGGCAAGAAAACUUCUGAGGUAACUACUAUGGAGGCAGAAAUAGGGAAAGUAUUUUACAAAAGGAGACUGAAUGAAGGGCCAGCUCCAGAAACAAAGCCACGAGCGGCAUGCAGUCUCAAGCCUCCAACACGCAGCUCUGGGUGCCUUGCCACUGUACAGCUGCUGUAUGCUACAAAGAGGUGUCGGAACACAUCAAAGAGGUGACGGAACUCAGUUUGGGUGAGUCUCGGCUGGAAAAAAGUCCUGCUAUUAUAGUAGAAUAACUGAGUGAAAGAGACCUGGAACAGAAAAUUCAGCCAAAGGCUAUUGAGAAGCUGGUAGUUGCAUGAAUACAAACUGUGUUUCCUGUAUGAAGCAACGUGCCUACUAGUCAUAAGCAUCACAAAUAAAUUCCCGCUGAAAAUCAUGAAAUGACCAUGACAGAGGCAUAAUCCAGCCCUUGUCUGUAUCUCAACAUGCAUUGAUGGCAAAAGUCACAGAUUGAAAACUGCAAAAAUUAUGAAAGAAAGCAUGAAAGAUCUAGCAGAGUAUAUUUUGUGACUUAGUUCCUGCCUAAAGCUCUUAGGUUUCACCAACAUGGCACCCGUGGGCACCAGUGUCCCCACCAGUACCUCCUAUGGCACCUACAAACGGUUUCUGUAAAUAUUCCCACCCCCCAAAUCCACAGUGCAUGAGAUACUGUUUGCUUUUGCUACCUAGGGCUGCAAUCCUAUAUAAGUCCACAACUUAGUCCAUUUAACUUGUGCUCAUUCAACUUUACACACAUUGCAAAAAAUAAAAGGUGUGGGUGUUCCAGGAAAAAUGAAUUUGACAGUCCCACCCACCAUUGAACCCAAUGGGUUUUGACCAUAUGCAAUUUUGGCUUUAGGGGCGAUCCCCAGAAUGUAACCCCGAUGUAAUUUGUGGACUUACUGUACUCAUUUACUAGUAAGCAAGUGAGCAUAGGAUUGCAGUCUUUCAGUGCCUGUUUACUCAGAAGUAAGUCUCAUUGUGUUUAAUGAGGCUUACUAUCUAGCAAAGUGUAGUUAGGAUCAGUCCUUUUUUUCUAGAAAAAUAGGUGCCGGUACUCACCAUGAAGUUGUUACAGUAGUGCUACACUUUUUAACAACAACCAAAAAAAAGAGGUGCCGGCACUGCGUACCCCUGAGUACCCCUUGGGGGAAAAGCAGUGGUUAGGAUUACAAACUUCAUCUGGCUAACAUGCCCUGCACGAGCCCAGACUGUUAGGAUCAAACUGCAUGAUUUUUUUCCUCCUUGUUGUUUUCCUCUACAUCCAGUGUGAAGAUGAUUUCUGGAGAAUUCAAAAGCUUGCGGGGUACUUUGUGAAAUUUAGGUGGUCCCAAUAGAGAUUAUCCCCCUAUUGUGGCUUUUUGAGCGCCCUGCCCCCCAUUAGACCAACACCCCUACCUUACAAUUUUUGUAUGUUACUCAGUUAUCUUUUCAAGUCAGCUGACACCUCUCUACUUUGCCGUAAGUACAAAGUCCAUCACAGGCGAAACAUAGACAAGAACAAAGUAGAGAUUUUCAUGGAGAAAUACUUGACAGCUACCAAGCCAUGGGCACUGCUUUCUGGAUUCAGUCCACACUACUUAUUUUGAUAAUUUGCUUGGACAGGAGGAAUAUCUGAUUUCCUUGAAAUCUACAAUAGCCUCCACUCCCCCCAGAAACCUUAGAGGAAAGCAUGCUUUCUCUUCCUAACUAUUGCAGAAAUUUUCAGAAUUGUUGCUCCCCACAGUUUCAAACAUAACAAAUAUAGAGAGAAAGACUGUGAAAUUAGUUUCCUUGUGCAACAAUGCAGGGCUAUAGACUGCAAAGUGAGAGGGAAGACAAGCCAGCCAGCCAAGACAAGUCCUCCUCCUCCUUUACUACACUGCUGCCAUCAAGUGGCUAUCUAUAUUUUUCUCUGGCUGCUUCCAUUAAAAGAGUGUUUUAGCCUUCUAGACCAGUGUUUCUCAAUCUAUGGGCCAGGAAACAACAGUGGGAGUCAGCCGUAGUCCCUCUGCUUGCAUGCCCAUCUUCUUACAGCGUCAGCAACAGCUGCCCCCAUGCACAGUGCAUAGGCAUGUGUGCAAGCACUAGGAGUUGGAAAAGAGAAUGAGACUGCAGCACUGGAAGUUGGAAAAGAAAGACAAGGAAAGGAAAGAUGGAUGGACAGUGUGGCUGACCAAAUGUGAGGGAAGGAAAAAAACAGAAAAGAGGGAGACGUAAGUGAUGAUCAAACUAACAUGCCUUGCAGCAACACUUUCAUGACUGUUUGCCAAAUGUGGACAGGUCUUCCAAUUAAGACCCUGCAGUCUGUGAUACCUGUUGCUGCUACUUUACCUUUAAAAGUAAAGAUAAAGGGACCCCUGACAGUUAGGUCCAGUCACA